CCCCUCAACGACGAGGAAUUGAUGGGCUAUGUGCUUGCUGGCCUUGAUGAUGACUAUGAGCCGGUGGUCUCCAAUCUGGUAGGCAAAAGUGAAUCGGUUCCAAUUUCUGAAGUUUACUCACAACUCCUGAGCUUUGAGU
rfam:Oryza punctata chromosome 1, whole genome shotgun sequence.